GUUUUUAUAAUUUAAAAUAAAAUAUUGGUCUUGUAAACCAAAAAUAAGAUGUUUCUUUAAAAACU
rnacentral:tRNA from 1 species